GAUGAUCCACUUAAUGAGAAGAAUCAGGUUCCUAGAGCAGCUAAUGAAAAAGGCCCAUCAAUAUCCGGAUUUAAUACAGCUGGAACCUUGGCCGUCGAUGAGAGUGGAACUGGUAGCAGCAAAAUCAGGACUGAUCAAUAUAACCUAGCUGAUUUUCCAACCAAAUAUGAUCAUGCACUUUUUUUCAUCAUCAAAUCAUACAGUGAAGAUGAUAUACAUAAGAGCAUUAAAUACAAUGUGUGGGCUAGUACUCCUAAUGGCAAUAAACGACUGGAUAGUGCAUUUCAGGAUGCACACAAGCGGAUGGAAGAGGAAGGAAACAAGUGCCCCGUGUUCCUUUUCUUUUCGGUAAGCUUUAGAGUUCAAUCUUGAUAUAAUUAUUAACAGAUAAGAAUGAUUCCCUUUCACUUUUUCUCAUGGUAAUUGUUUGAGUUCAGGUCAACGCUAGUGGUCAAUUUUGUGGAAUAGCUGAGAUGAUUGGGCGAGUUGAUUUCAAUAAAAGCAUGGACUUCUGGCAACAAGAUAAAUGGAAUGGAUAUUUCCCUGUCAAAUGGCACAUUAUAAAAGAUGUUCCAAAUCCUCGGUUACGGCAUAUAAUACUUGAGAAUAAUGAUCACAAGCCUGUCACAAAUAGUAGAGAUACACAAGAGGUCUGCAUUUUUCAUGUUUCUGUAAAGCAAUUGCUUACCGAUUUGUCUGUGAUUUCUUCUGUAUGCUCACUAUUGCUGUCUUGCAUGUUUCCACUUUUCAGGUGAGUUUUCCCCAUGGUCUUGAAAUGCUCAACAUUUUUAAGAACUAUGUGGCAAGAACAUCCAUAUUAGAUGACUUCGAAUUUUACGAAAGCCGACAGAAGGUAAUGCAGGAGAAGAAAGUAAGACCAUCCAUGCCCCAUACGAGUAUACAGGUAUUGUCUUACACUGCUACUUUAUUCCAAGACCCUUGCCAAUUAUAGAAAAACAUAUUUUCACAUUUUAUUUCUGAUAUAAUUGAUAUCGGCAUCUCCGGAUAAGUGAGUGCAUGUGAUAAUAGGACCACAUUGGAAGAGUUCUCUUUGGUAGAGCUAGAAUUGUUCUGCAAUAUUUUAUAAGUAUGAGGUACUAUUAACAUUUUUUUGUAUAAUCAAGGGUAUUCCCUCACCGGCUCACCCUAUGAGUAAGAACUAAUCUUUUUCGAGGUGUGUGUUUGUCAUUCAAAACAAAUGUCGCUCCCAGGAAUUUAACCUUUGACCUUUAGCCUAGUAGGAUGCAUGGAGAUCCAGUAAGGUCUUACACCACUAGACCUUCGCCUCGUUCGUAUUAAGAUUGUAAAGUUGAUACUCUUUACAAAAUAAUUGAGCAAGAUUUGGUAAGCCAAUAGCUCUUUAGACUUUGGAGCAUGUUAUGCUAUUCUUGACUUUAGUAUUUAUGAUGUGUAAUUUAUUCUAAGUUCUUUAUUUAAUCACUAUGAAAUGCUUUAAAUUUAUUAUGUAAUUUUGUUGGCAGCACAUAGAUGAAUUAAGCACUGCACUUGAGUCAGUAGAAUUAUCAACUACCAAGAACAAGGAGGAUCCUAAGUUGAUUGAGAAAGUGAAGGACUGAAUAAAACUAUUAAACACUGCUUUCUGGACUAUGAAGUAAAAGUGCUCAUCAAAUUAACAUAUUGGAAAUUGUAAACAAAAUUGUUGGUGAUGCUUUAGAAGAAAAAAUAAAAAGAAUAAUAUCAUUCUGGAAAUGAAAUGUUGGAUGGAUUCCAAAAUUGUACAAACUACAGAUGAAAUAGUUUGUCAUUUAUUUACUUCCUUCACUUUUGUUUUUAUUUUGCACAUAUAAAAAUUAAGUUUGGUUCCUUGUUGUUAGUGUAUUUUUGUAUCCUAUUUGUAGUGGGGGAAUUUAACAUAGUAAAUGCGUCAUAUUUUUGUGAGUAUUAAUUUAGUAUCUAAUAAAUUUAAGUUAUUAUUUCGAUCCUAAACUUUCAAUUGAGUGAAAUGGCACAUUAUCCACAUGUGUGGUGUUGUUUUGUACCGGUAUUUUUUUUCAAAUUAAGACACAAAACAAUAUUUAUAUUAUUUUCUUCUCUCCUCACUAGUUAGAUAAGAAAUACUCAUUUUACUUCCUAGAGAUUUAUGAAAGUAUUAUAUUGGUCCUUAUUUCAUACUAUAGCUUAAAUCAGAUUUCUUCACUUCUAAAUCUUCACCCCCAAACUCCUAAAGGUUCACCUCCUUCUAUCAUUCUUCAUCCCAAAAGUUUACUAUUACGUUUAAUCAGUUUAAAUGGUUAAAACAAUCGAUUGGAUUAGAUAAUUUUAUACUAAGCUUGUGAUGUUUCUCAGGCACCGGUCCUCCAUUCAGAUACAAUGGCAAAGGGCUGCUUACCCGUUACCAAAUUCCCUGCAUACAAUCAAGGAAGGAGUGGAUUCCUCUAUCCAAACAACUUGCUUAAUGUGAAACCACAAACAAAGGGUUGGGUUAGUACUGAUAAGUUAAAACUGAGAAGCAAGGUCGAUGAUCCACUUAAUGAGAAGAAUCAGGUUCCUAGAGCAGCUAAUGAAAAAGGCCCAUCAAUAUCCGGAUUUAAUACAGCUGGAACCUUGGCCGUCGAUGAGAGUGGAACUGGUAGCAGCAAAAUCAGGACUGAUCAAUAUAACCUAGCUGAUUUUCCAACCAAAUAUGAUCAUGCACUUUUUUUCAUCAUCAAAUCAUACAGUGAAGAUGAUAUACAUAAGAGCAUUAAAUACAAUGUGUGGG
rnacentral:lncRNA from 1 species